AGUGAACGCUGGCGGUAGGCCUAACACAUGCAAGUCGAACGGCAGCACAGUAAGAGCUUGCUCUUACGGGUGGCGAGUGGCGGACGGGUGAGGAAUACAUCGGAAUCUACUUUUUCGUGGGGGUUAACGUAGGGAAACUUACUCUAAUACCGCAUACGACCUACGGGUGAAAGCAGGGGAUCUUCGGACCUUGCGCGAUUGAAUGAGCCGCUGUCGGAUUAGCUAGUUGGCGGGGUAAAGGCCCACCAAGGCGACGAUCCGUAGCUGGUCUGAGAGGAUGAUCGGCCACACUGGAACUGAGACACGGUCCAGACUCCUAAGGGAGGCAGCAGUGGGGAAUAUUGGACAAUGGGCGCAAGCCUGAUCCAGCCAUACCGCGUGGGUGAAGAAGGCCUUCGGGUUGUAAAGCCCUUUUGUUGGGAAAGAAAAGCAGCAGGUUAAUACCCCGCUGUUCUGACGGUACCCAAAGAAUAAGCACCGGCUAACUUCGUG
rnacentral:rRNA from 1 species